rnacentral:lncRNA from 1 species
GGCGGGGCUCGGCGGCUGCGCGCGCAGGUCCGAGUGCCGGCGGCUGUCCCGGUCUCCUUUUUUCCCUGCGCCCCCUUUAGAAAAUAUUGUGCUGUCACCCACCCAGGACUUAAGAACGCAAAGUGAAAAACAAGUAGCCACGCCACGCCCCCGUGGAACUCACAAAUGGGGAGGGGGAGAACGCCACGGCAUUAGAUGAGGUCACAACUUCCACACUGGAAGGACAGUCCUGUGUGGUGUCCCUGGGGAAGGAGACGCUCGAGCUGAAAGUUGAAUGGCAAACAGUACGCCAGCAGGAGUUAGUGUGUACCAGACCUGUGGGAGAGAAAAAUCUGGCCCGUAAGAACAUGAGAGAAAUAAAGAAGCCUGCAGAGUUUGAAUCUCAGACCUCAAGAUUCCCCACAGAUGAAAACAUCAAAAGAAAGUGGGUAUUAGCCAUGAAAAGACUAGAUGUGAAUACUGCAAGCAUUUGGAAGCCUAAAAAAAGGAGAUGUGCUGUGUUCAAGACACUUCAAGAAGACAGACUUUGACAGAAGCACUCUAAACACUAAGCUGAAGGCAGGAGCCAUCCCUUCUAUCUUUGAAUGUCCAUAUCACUUACAGGAGAAAAGAGAAAAACUUCACUGUAGAAAAAACUUCCUUCUCAAAACCCUUCCCAUCACCCACCAUGGCCGCCAGCUUGUUGGUGCCUCCUGCAUUGAAGAAUUCGAACCCCAGUUCAUUUUUUUGACAUGACAGUGCUUCUUAGAAGAUUCUCCCACACCGCCACUCAAGCAGGUCUGCACUGACAGCAUUAUGGAAGCCAAAAGCGUGUUAAAGAUGUGCAGAAAGCUGGUGUGGUCAUGCUCUUGUGUGACUUGUGACAAUUACGUUUUUACAGACCUAAACCAGUGCUGGGUCACUACUCCAAGGGAGUUAAAUCUCACAAAAGUAAGGAACUAUAUCAAGUUGGCCACACUAAGUUCUGGCAAUUAGAAAGAACAACGCAUGUUCACUUGUAUAUGCUUUGUAGUAGCUUGUGAUUCUAAUUGUAAAUAUUUUACUAUAAAGCAGAAUUUGUUUACAACACAUGUUCAUCUUGUACCCACCCCAAGGCCCUUUAGUUAUUAGUCAUACUACAGAGCAUUCUUUUUAAUAAGGCCCUCGGUAGCACUGACCCUGAGAAUAACGCACGGUAAAGACUUACUGCCUUUUAAGUUAAGAGGCAGUUAAAGGAGACUGCUGACAGGGUGCCAGUUGUCGGGUACAGUGUGCCAUUCCUCCACACCGGGACCAGUCUGGUGUAAACCAUAAAGAACAGCUGUAAGCGCCAUAGUGGGAGCGUGUAAAACAAGGAAUAUAAAAUGUAGGAAAACUGGAAAACAUAAGGAAAAGUUUUUAAAAUGUACAGGCCUUACCAUAGAAAUAGAAGCAGAGAAUUGUCCCAUGGCAGUAAUUAACUUCCUAGAGAAACAGACAUUCAAAAGAGCUGCUUUGAAACUUCUUACCAAAUAGAUAAAAGGAAAGUCUUAGCUAUUUACUGAUUGAGCCAAAUGUGAAAAAUUAACUGAAGUUAAGAAUCAUAAAUACUGUCUUAAAAAGUAUUGCCCAAACCGGGGGUGGUGGCACACACCUUUAAUCCCAGCACUCGGGAGGCAGAGGCAGGUAGAUUUCUGAGUUCGAGGCCAGCCUGGUCUACAGAGUGAGUUCCAGGACAGCCAGGGCUACACAGAGAGACCCUGUCUCGAAAAAAAAAAAGUUGCCCAAAGCCCCACCCCAUGCCGAGCUCAGGUCUGUGAAAGAACCUUGUUCAGAGACCUGUGCAUAGUCACCAGAAUAGGUGUAGCAAUUGUGUCAUCGUUUUAUUAAAUCACUUUCAUGUUUUGUAACUUUGUUUCAUAGUGUCAUACCUAUAUGGUCAGUUGAAGAUUUUUGUGUUAAGGAUAUUUAAUUUUCAUAUGGGACUGUAAAUCUUCCCUCUAAAAGAGACUUUGAUUUUAAUUGCCUGCCUGUCAUUUCUUUUCCCUAUGUAAUACUUAAGUCACAGUGGGUACUCUAACAGGAAGUAUGGGUUGAUUCUAAACCCCAGCCCCUCUGUGAGCGUGGUCAUUAAAGUUGGUGACUGAAAGGGAAGGCUGCAGCAGAGUCUGCAGACUCGCCCUCCCCUGGCUGCCUUCGAUAGAGCACGCCUGCAAGACUCUCCAAAGGAAGGGUCCAGAUUCUGCCCAGUUACAGUUACACGGUCACUCUGCUGCUUCCGUCUUGCUGAGCUCAAGUCUUUGUCCUCUCUUUCACUAGGUCUAGUAUCACUGAGAAACUGGUAACUGGGAGAAAUAUCAGUAAGAACCCAUUUGCUCUUUACUCCUCCAGAGGACUAGUUACCAGUAGAAAUCAGACUUAGGAUAGGAUCCCUGCCACCUGACACCUAAAUGCCUAAACACAGUCCCUACCUCAGUCCUCCCUCAGAGAUGACAGCCUAGGUCUUCCAGGGAAGAACAGCUGCUUAUAUCGUAAAGCUACCCUGGGUGGUGAUGGUGAAUGCCUUUGAUCCCAGCACUCCAGGGCUUAGAGGCACAGGCAGGUGGAUCUCUAUGAGACAGCCAGGGCUACACAGAGAAAUCCUGUCCUGAAAAAUCAAAGAUGAUGAUGAUGAUGUAAAGCUAAAUCAUGACCUAUGUAGAAGUCCUCAGGCAACCAAAGCUGACCCAAGAGCUCUAGUUUCUAAACAUAGACUGGUCUCUAGACCCUGAAACACCCUUGAUUGCCAAAGAAGGUACGAAGGACUCGAUGUGGCAUUUUCUUCUCCAUAUCAAGUUUAAACUUUGGAAAAUAAACUUUGUUGCUAAAGGUAGCAAUAAUUAUACAAGUCGUUAAUUUGAGAAAAGAUGAAAAUAUUAAAUACAGUUUUAGUUUUUAAAAGUAAAAUUCUUAACAGAAAUAAUUGAAAAAUGAAAGCCAUUUAUUUGAAAAAUAAAAAUUUUGUCUAAUAAUGUGUUGUGGGUUUUUUUAAUACCUUGAU